GAGGUUGCCCACAAUCGUCAACCGGAUGAUAACAAGCAUAGCCCACAAAAUUGUGUAAUAAUAUACGGACUUGAUUAUUAUCGCUGGCAUGACGACAAGUGUGAAAACAAAUGGCAUUUUAUUUGUGAAGACCGUACUACCCUAAAAGCAAAUAUCGCACACCACACAGGGGCGACUGACGCUGUGAUAAAUCCAGUACCUACUCACCAUACGAACACAUUUCAAUGCGACACACAUGACGGUUAUAUGGAUUAAGAAAGAGACGGUACACAUCUAUGUGUGAAAAUUGUGACACAUCAACGGAACUGGGACGGCGCUCGAUCAGAUUGUAAACAUAGUGGUGGUGAUCUUGUUGUGUUGGAUACAAGCGUUAAAGCGCGAAUGAUGAGAAUGAAAUUAGUUCACGACGGUCAUUAUAACCAUCAGACUGGUUUUUGGAUAGGAGCAAAGGAUUUUCACCAAACAAACCAAUUCUCUUGGGUAAAUAAUCACCCAAUAACAGAUGGUGACUGGCACAGCGGCCAACCAAACCACCACGACGGAGGACACGACCAGGAUUGUGCUUGCAUGUGGAGUACGAACGAACACUAUCGCUGGCACGAUGAUUACUGUGCUAAAACACUUGGAUACAUAUGUGAACGAAAGUAGAAUUGCUUGCACUUACUUUUUGAAAAACGAUGACUUUUCGCUGUUAAAUUGCAUUGUGUCUUUCAUUUAGACAUAUAUCAAACAAUCACAGAUGUAGUAAAUAAUUAGAAAUAAAAGACAUUUUUACAA